AUUUUUAGAAAAAAUCAUAAAUACUAGAAUACUAUAAACUAUACUCUUUCAAACUCAAAGGAUUUGGCGGUGCUUUAGUCCAGUCAGAGGAACCUGUUAAAUAAACGAUACACCACGCAAUAUCUUACCUGCCCCUAAAGCCUGUAUACCAUCAUUAUCAGAUAACUCUAAUAAGAUUAGUUAUUAAUAAAAACCAUAUUUUUUUAUAUUAGAUCAAGGUGCAGCCAAUGGGUAGGUUUCAAUGGGUUACAAUAAUUCAUAAUUAACGAACUCCAAGACUAACUCUUAGAUGAAGACGGAUUUGAUAGUAAAGUUAUUUUAAUAAGGAAUCUUGAUAAAGGAUCUAAAUCAAGUACAUAUCGCCCGUCACUUUCAUUUAAAAAUGAAAUAAGUCGUAACAUAG
rnacentral:rRNA from 1 species